CAAAUCAAAUCAAAUCAAAUCAAAGCAUUUAUUCGCGUUCAUGACGCAUAUCGAACACAAACAGUAGCAUACAUAAUCAUAAAAAAAAAAAAACACAAAAAUAAAAUAAAAACAUCAAUAAAAAGAAAACACAAGAAUAAUAAGAAUAUGCGUCACAAGCACGCGAAAUGGCCCUCGCUCAGCAUUAUGCAGCGACCCUAUGCGAGACAGAGUCGCUGCGCUGGUUUUCAGCGAUGGCCAGCACUAACAUGUGACGUCAAUCGGUGCAUUUAAGCUAAACUAAAUAUAUAAAAUAUAAAAAGUGUUAUAUAUAUUUAUGGAUAUAAAAUACUACUAUAAAAACAAACUAAAUAUAAAUAGAGAAAAAUAACUACCUAGUUACGCAGCAUUCCGAACGAAUGCGACUGGAAGUGACACUCGCGCUUCGCAAAAUUAUAUUUUAUCUGUGGUCUAUGCCGCCGACCAUUACACAAACACAAAUAGUCAAUAUACAAACAAUUUGUGUGAGAAUUAGGUAAUGGCGACGGAGGCAUACCAAGAAUUAUUAUGCAAUGCCUCAUGUAGAUAUCAUGUAGACGAGUGUAUAAAUGUGUAUAGUGUUGAGAAAAGAAAAAUCGAACAUGAAUUUGUGUAAAGGAUGUAUUAAAUGUGAGUAUGUAGGUCGAUCGUAUUCCUGCUACCAGGAUGGCGUCGACGACAAUAUGGGACAAAUGACAGAGAGAUGAAGAAGAAGGGUUGACCGAAGCAGAUGCUCCACCGUGCCGAGGAGGAUGAUUCAAAAGCAGCCCACACUGCAGGAAAUGAUCCCCAAACCAGAGCAUGUGUGCCAUGACCCCUGAGGCAUCGAAGUGGGGGAGGGAGAUCAUUCCAGCAGCGCGUGGCUGCAAACUUGAAGCAUCCUCUGAAUGCCGUAGUGCGAUGCAUGGGAACGGUCAGCGGACACACUAUGGAGCGAAGACCAUGCUUUAUCUGGCUUUGUUUCCAGGUC